rnacentral:rRNA from 1 species
GUGGGGAAUCUUGCGCAAUGGGCGAAAGCCUGACGCAGCGACGCCGCGUGGGGGAUGAAUGCCUUCGGGUUGUAAACCCCUUUCGGCAGGGACGAAGCGAACGUGACGGUACCUGCAGAAGAAGUCCCGGCUAACUACGUGCCAGCAGCCGCGGUAAGACGUAGGGGACGAGCGUUGUCCGGAUUUAUUGGGCGUAAAGAGCGCGUAGGCGGCUUGGUAAGUCGGAUGUGAAAUCCCGGGGCUCAACCCCGUGACUGCACCCGAAACUGCCCGGCUAGAGGUAGGUAGGGGAGAUCGGAAUUCCUGGUGUAGCGGUGAAAUGCGCAGAUAUCAGGAGGAACACCGGUGGCGAAGGCGGAUCUCUGGGCCUUACCUGACGCUCAGGCGCGAAAGCUAGGGGAGCAAACAGGAUUAGAAACCCCAGUAGUCC